rnacentral:rRNA from 1 species
UCAUUAAGUGAAUACAUAGCUUAAUGAGGGGAACUCAGGGAACUGAAACAUCUAAGUACCUGAAGGAAGAGAAAGAAAUUCGAUUCCGUAAGUAGCGGCGAGCGAACGCGGAUUAGCCCAAACCAAUAAAGUUUUCUUUAUUGGGGUUGCGGACAUAUCAUAACGAAGAGGUAGCGUAAUUGAAGAGGUUUGGAAAGACCCACCACAGAAGGUAAUAGUCCUGUAUGUUAAACGAGAAGACUU